rnacentral:sRNA from 1 species
GCUAGGUGAGGUGGUGCACGCCUGUAGUCCCAGCUACUCGGGAGGCUGAGAUGGGAGGAUCACCUGAGCCCAGGAGGUUGAGGCUGUAGUGAGCUGUGAUUGUACCACUGCACUCCAGCCUGGGCAACAGAGUGAGACCCUAUCUCAA